rnacentral:rRNA from 1 species
GAUGAACGCUGGCGGCGUGCCUAAUACAUGCAAGUCGUACGGAAAGGCCCUUCGGGGUACUCGAGUGGCGGACGGCUGAGUAACGCGUGGGAACGUGCCCCAAAGUGAGGGAUAACGCACCGAAAGGUGUGCUAAUACCGCAUAUGGUCUUCGGAUUAAAGCUUCGGCGCUUUGGGAGCGGCCCGCGUACGAUUAGAUAGUUGGUGAGGUAAUGGCGCACCAAGUCGACGAUCGUUAGCUGGUCUGAGAGGAUGAUCAGCCAGACUGGGACUGAGACACGGCCCAGACUCCUACGGGAGGCAGCAGUAAGGAAUCUUCCACAAUGGGGGCAACCCUGAUGGAGCAACGCCGCGUGCAGGAUGAAGGUUUUCGGAUCGUAAACUGCUUUUAUAAGUGAAGAAUAUGACGGUAACUUAUGAAUAAGGAUCGGCUAACUACGUGCCAGCCGCCGCAGUAAGAC